rnacentral:hammerhead_ribozyme from 1 species
AUCCAGCUGACGAGUCCCAGAUAGGACGAAACACGUGACCUAUAA